AUUGAACGCUGGCGGCAUGCCUAACACAUGCAAGUCGAACGGUAACAGGCCCUUCGGGGCGCUGACGAGUGGCGGACGGGUGAGUAAUGCUUAGGAAUCUACCUUGUAGUGGGGGAUAACCCGAGGAAACUCGGGCUAAUACCGCAUACGCCUUACGGGGGAAAGCGGGGACCUUCGGGCCUCGCGCUAUAAGAUGAGCCUAAGUCCGAUUAGCUAGUUGGUAGGGUAAUGGCCUACCAAGGCGACGAUCGGUAGCUGGUCUGAGAGGACGACCAGCCACACUGGGACUGAGACACGGCCCAGACUCCUACGGGAGGCAGCAGUGGGGAAUAUUGGACAAUGGCGAAAGCCUGAUCCAGCGAUGCCGCGUGUGUGAAGAGGGCCUGCGGGUUGUAAAGC
rnacentral:rRNA from 1 species